rnacentral:rRNA from 1 species
AGUGAACGCUGGCGGUAGGCCUAACACAUGCAAGUAGAACGGCAGCACAGUAAGAGCUUGCUCUUGCGGGUGGCGAGUGGCGGACGGGUGAGGAAUACAUCGGAAUCUACUUUUUCGUGGGGGAUAACGUAGGGAAACUUACGCUAAUACCGCAUACGACCUACGGGUGAAAGCAGGGGAUCUUCGGACCUUGCGCGAUUGAAUGAGCCGAUGUCGGAUUAGCUAGUUGGCGGGGUAAAGGCCCACCAAGGCGACGAUCCGUAGCUGGUCUGAGAGGAUGAUCAGCCACACUGGAACUGAGACACGGUCCAGACUCCUACGGGAGGCAGCAGUGGGGAAUAUUGGACAAUGGGCGCAAGCCUGAUCCAGCCAUACCGCGUGGGUGAAGAAGGCCUUCGGGUUGUAAAGCCCUUUUGUUGGGAAAGAAAAGCAGCAGGUUAAUACCCCGCUGUUCUGACGGUACCCAAAGAAUAAGCACCGGCUAACUUCGUG